UAGUUGGUUCAUAGAUAUAGGAGGGAAGGGUUGGCAACGGAAGUGGUUCACGUGAUCAUUUUACAUGUGUUUCUGCAGUUUUGUAAUGAAACCAUCCGUGACUCGCCUGUUUUCCUGCCAGAAUGCCCGCAAAAAGCAGAAAAAGUCUGUUGUGGUCUUCCUUUAGUGCCUCAUGACCUCUCAUGGUGUUACACUGAUGUUGUGCUUUAUUUAGAGUUAGAUUAUCUUGCCAGUUUGUAAAACUAAAGAAACAAAGACUUUUUACUACAGAAAAACUACAAUUUUACAAGAUUUGAUCCCUUUUUAAGAAACAGUACUCAUCCAUAUUACUAUUCUUCAAGUUUUCCUGGUUGUAUGUAUGUAGGUUGAUCUACUGAAAGGCAAAAAUUGCCUAUUCAUACCAUUUAGAAUGUGUUGUAGUGUUGAGUAUGGCUUAUUUCAUCUGAAGUUUUAUGCUCCCUUUUUAAGAAACACACAUGCUUUUAAAAUAUACUGACUUCAUGAGAGUGUUUAUCAAUGUCAGGUCCAUCAACUGGUACAGGUUUUGUGCUUCAAAUUUUUGUCAGUUGCAGAAAAUAUGACUGGAGGUGUAAGGCCUGAUUAUCGGCUUAUAUAGUAAGAAACAGAACUGGGAUAGAAAGCUCCAGUCAUACUAUUAGAUCUUCAUCGUACAGUAAUCAGUAUGCUGGAAGAAAUUUAUGAAGCUGAAGAAGGAAGAGUUGAUUGACUAUUUUGGGCUACAUAUUAAAAAACGAAAUGAAAGACUUUGUUACAUGCAAAAGACCUGUACAGUUGUAUAGCACCAGCUCUACCUCAUGCAGUAGCAGCAGUAGCAGUUCAUUAUGCAGCUUAUUAUGGCAGUUUAUAUGACUUGUGAAAUGUUGAUAAUUUAUUAAAAUUUGG